rnacentral:rRNA from 1 species
UAGGGAAUCUUCCACAAUGGGCGCAAGCCUGAUGGAGCAACACCGCGUGAGUGAAGAAGGGUUUCGGCUCGUAAAGCUCUGUUGUUAAAGAAGAACACGUAUGAGAGUAACUGUUCAUACGUUGACGGUAUUUAACCAGAAAGUCACGGCUAACUACGUGCCAGCAGCCGCGGUAAUACGUAGGUGGCAAGCGUUAUCCGGAUUUAUUGGGCGUAAAGCGAGCGCAGGCGGUUUGAUAAGUCUGAAGUUAAAGGCUGUGGCUCAACCAUAGUUCGCUUUGGAAACUGUCAAACUUGAGUGCAGAAGGGGAGAGUGGAAUUCCAUGUGUAGCGGUGAAAUGCGUAGAUAUAUGGAGGAACACCGGUGGCGAAAGCGGCUCUCUGGUCUGUAACUGACGCUGAGGCUCGAAAGCGUGGGGAGCGAACAGGAUUAGAUACCCUGGUAGUCCACGCCGUAAACGAUGAGUGCUAGGUGUUGGAUCCUUUCCGGGAUUCAGUGCCGCAGCUAACGCAUUAAGCACUCCGCCUGGGGAGUACGACCGCAAGGUU